rnacentral:sRNA from 1 species
AUUUGGGGAAAAUCGUUCUUCCAACUUCUCUUCAUUCAUGAGAACUUUGGACUGAUCUUCCAAAAAAGUACCAAAACUGGAAUUUACCUAACGUCAUCUCUCAAGAAUUGUUCAAGGACUCUCGAAAUACUCACCUUCUCUAUCCUGUACAUCGAAUCUCCGUCUGUGGUCAGUAAAAAGAUAUAUAGACAAAUGUCGCCUUGUAUUUCUAGGUAGACUAAUGAGGGCGGAGAAUAUCACUGUUCACAAUAAAGUGUUUAUGUUUUUAUCGUCGCAGGAUGUUCCAGAUAAAUACAUUGUCUCUGAGACUAUUCAAAAGACAUCAAUUGGAUAUGAUUUGUCAAAUUCUGUCGAUGUAUAUAGAGAUAGUGUUUACAACAAAUCUAUAUUUUAAAAACAAGUAGUAAAAAAUGUUUUAUUGAAGAGGAAACAAAAAGGAACAAUUGUUGUAUAGCACUCGUAAAAUGUCAGUAUGUAGAAAUACACAAUGUAAAUCAAAGCAAACUUUAACGGGUAACUGUUAAAGAAAACCCUAGCCUAAGAAAAUAUUUUAAUCGUUUUAUUGCAUUAUUGUCAAUGAAAACGGUUUCAAAAUUGUGUACACGGUGUAAAAGAAUUAACAAUGAUGAGAAUUGACAUGCACAUAGUGCUCAAUUGUUUAUUAUUUAUGAACUAGAGAGACAAGCUUUCAGAGGAUUUAUUAGAUAUUUUCGAUGCAUUUGAAUACGUUUAUUUUGCAAGAUACCGAAAGCUAAUAUUUGGAUCUAUUAGGAUGCAUUGUGAAUACCAGCUGUGCUAAAAUAGCUUUUGAAAAGUGGAACAAAAUAUGAUUUGUAUAUUAAAAAUUUGU